rnacentral:lncRNA from 1 species
ACUCAAGAAACGAAACAAAAAAAUAAGCUCUGGCAGAAACAGCAACAUAUAUGCGCCAAGAAGAAAUCGAAACGAACAAAACUUCUCUAUCAAUCGGAAGAAGAGACGAAAAACUAACCUCUCGAAGACCAACCGGCAGAAACGAAGCACCACCGCCACCACACCGCCGCACUGCCGCACACCCAGGCCGCACCACCACGAAAUGCACAGAUGAACAGAGGACUGGAGUUGGGAGUAAGAGUUUAAAAAAAAUGGAAACGAGUAAAGGGAAACGGGUGGGGGUGUUGUGUUAGCCUUAGUGAAAUUGAAAAGGGGAGUGGGGGAUUCUGUGUUACGUGAGGGAGGGAGUCAAAUGAGAAAGUAAAUCUAGGAUUAGGUAAAUAAGAGAGGGUUAAAAAAGUAAAUUAGAGAGUACAAAAAAGGUUAUAUUUGUAAUAUAACAAAAAUUAAAAAAAAUUAAAAAAAAAUGGGGAGGUAGAAAGCAAAAAAUGUGGAGGUACAGGGAUCAACCCCAGUUGGCAACAUGUAAAAAAAAACACUAUGGAGCUGCGGCCCAAUAGCGUUAUACCCACAUUGACAUACGAUGAAAAUUUUCGUUUGCACCCCAUGAUUUAUCCUGCAUAGUCAUGUAGUGCGUAAAAGACAAAACUAUCCUUGUUUCAAUCAUCUUCUAUGUUAGGUUGCUAGUUUUUUCUCAUCUCCUUCCACCGCCUUCUUUUCGGUAUUGUCUUGCAUUCUGAUAAAAAAAAUUCUCAACAAUAAGUUUUAAAUUAUGUAACUCACAGUUACUUCCGAAUUUUACAUGAGAAAAAAUUUAACCCAUCC